rnacentral:ncRNA from 2 species
UCUUAGACCAGAACUAUCGGUUCUGAUGGGGAGCAGCCAUCAGACGCAAGGGGGAAAGUGCAGUGUGAAUCUGCCGCUGUCCCGCAGCUGUGAAGAGAGGCGCAACUCUCUGAGUCAGAAUGCCCGCCGAGUCAUAAACCCAUUA